rnacentral:snRNA from 1 species
AGUUGUGAGGGCAAUCUGGCUGCAUCUGUCACCCCACUGAGGCCAGGGUUGAUUCAGUUGGCUAGGCGGGUGUCCCCUUCCUCCCUCACCCCUCCAUGUGCUUCCCUCCCGAAGCGUCAUGCUCUGUGGAAGAGAACAACCUUCCCCUCUUCCUCCUCCUCCUCCGCCCAGGAGAGGGCCAGUCUUCGGUCAAGGGCUCCCCUGCUAGAACCUCCAAACAAGCUCUCAAGGCCCCUUUGUAGGAGAACGUAGGGUAGUCAAGCUUCUAAGACUCCAGACACAUCCACACGAGAGGCUGCAUGUGGAAGUCUGCAUUUCU